rnacentral:rRNA from 1 species
CAGCAGUGGGGGAUAUUGCACAAUGGGGGAAACCCUGAUGCAGCGACGCCGCGUGAGCGAUGAAGUAUUUCGGUAUGUAAAGCUCUAUCAGCAGGGAAGAAAAUGACGGUACCUGACUAAGAAGCCCCGGCUAACUACGUGCCAGCAGCCGCGGUAAUAUGUAGGGGGCAAGCGUUAUCCGGAUUUACUGGGUGUAAAGGGAGCGUAGACGGCGGUACAAGUCUGAAGUGAAAGGCAUGGGCUCAACCUGUGGACUGCUUUGGAAACUGUAGUGCUAGAGUGUCGGAGAGGCAAGUGGAAUUCCUAGUGUAGCGGUGAAAUGCGUAGAUAUUAGGAGGAACACCAGUGGCGAAGGCGGCUUGCUGGACGAUGACUGACGUUGAGGCUCGAAAGCGUGGGGAGCAAACAGGAUUAGA